CUCUGCUCAAUUCAAACAAAGAGAUGAUUCAAUAUGUCAAUUCCUGCUAUAGUCAUAUCGAGACAAGCACAAGCAAAACGCCAGAAGCCAAUAAGCCUAAGUUAGCUCAUGCAGGCUGUGAGGUCAUGUAUAAAACUGUAACUUCCAUAACCUAACGAGGAACAGGGUAAGACUGAAUUACUUGGGGUGCCUGUGCCCAAACUAAACAAGGCUGCAGAUCGUGAAGACAUUAAACAAAACAAAGAGAUUACCGCUGAGCAAGUUUGAGCCCUGAUGUUGCACACAGGGUAGUCCGGCGGGCAGCAGCUGGCAUGAUCCUUGCAGCACGUGGCACCUUUAAUUGGGCAGCAACCCCAGACCAGGCAGACGUUCCUGAAGCCAAAAGCGCAGCAGCAGGUGCUGCCCGCUGAACAGGAGUAGUUCUCAUCACAGACAUUGUCAGGGGCGACUGGGGGAGGCGGUGUUGGAGGGGUUGGAGACGGCUUGGGAGGGUUAGGGCCCUUCUUAGUGGGGUAAGAUGCCAUCAUAGCAAUUCCACACUUCCCAGUGAUGGCGUUGAUGUUGCGCUCCAUGCGGAUGUACCCAGACUCACCC
rnacentral:lncRNA from 1 species